rnacentral:rRNA from 1 species
UACGGGGGGGGCAAGCGUUGUUCGGAAUUACUGGGCGUAAAGGGCUCGUAGGCGGCCAACUAAGUCGGACGUGAAAUCCCUCGGCUUAACCGGGGAACUGCAUCCGAUACUGGAAGGCUUGAGUUUGGGAGAGGGAUGCGGAAUUCCAGGUGUAGCGGUGAAAUGCGUAGAUAUCUGGAGGAACACCGGUGGCGAAGGCGGCAUCCUGGACCGGCAUUGACGCUGAGGCGCGAAAGCCAGGGGAGCAAACGGG